UUUCCGUAGGUGAACCUGCGGAAGGAUCAUUAUUGGAUUUUGAAACUUCAGGCUGCUGCUGGCUCUCCUCGGAGGGCAUGUGCACGCUUGUUGUCCAUUAUUUCUCCCACUGUGCACAAAUUGUAGACCUUACAGUAGGCCUAUGUCGUUUUUCACAAUCUCUGAAUGUAAUAGAAUGGUUUUGAAUCUUGGGAAAUACAAUACAACUUUCAGCAACGGAUCUCUUGGCUCUC
rnacentral:misc_RNA from 1 species